rnacentral:rRNA from 1 species
CAAUAGCGUAUAUUAAAGUUGUUGCAGUUAAAAAGCUCGUAGUUGGAUUUCGGGGUGGCCUGCCUGGUCCACCGCAAGGUGAGUACUGGUCAGCCGCCCUUCCUCUCGAAAGCCCCGACUGCUCUUCAUUGCAGUGGUCGGGUAGUUCGGGACGUUUACUUUGAAAAAAUUAGAGUGUUCAAGGCAGGCUAUCGCCUGAAUACAUUAGCAUGGAAUAAUGGAAGAGGACCUCGGUCCUAUUUUGUUGGUUUCUAGGGCCGAAGUAAUGAUUAAGAGGGACAGUUGGGGGCAUUCGUAUUUAAUUGUCAGAGGUGAAAUUCUUGGAUUUAUGAAAGACGAACUAGUGCGAAAGCAUUUGCCAAGGAUGUUCUCAUUAA